rnacentral:rRNA from 1 species
AGUGAACGCUGGCGGCAGGCCUAACACAUGCAAGUCGAACGGCAGCACAAGAGAGCUUGCUCUCUGGGUGGCGAGUGGCGGACGGGUGAGGAAUGCAUCUGAAUCUGCCCAUUUGUGGGGGAUAACCUCGGGAAACCGGGACUAAUACCGCAUACGACCUACGGGUGAAAGCAGGGGAUCUUCGGACCUUGCGCAGAUGGAUGAGCCGAUGCCGGAUUAGCUAGUUGGAGGGGUAAAGGCUCACCAAGGCGACGAUCCGUAGCUGGUCUGAGAGGAUGAUCAGCCACACUGGGACUGAGACACGGCCCAGACUCCUACGGGAGGCAGCAGUGGGGAAUAUUGGACAAUGGGCGCAAGCCUGAUCCAGCCAUGCCGCGUGUGUGAAGAAGGCCUUCGGGUUGUAAAGCACUUUUGUUGGGAAAGAAAAGCAGCCGGUUAAUACCCGGUUGUCAUGACGGUACCCAAAGAAUAAGCACCGGCUAACUUCGUG